rnacentral:rRNA from 1 species
UCAGACGAUGCGUCAUGCAUAUCAAUAAGCGGAGGAAAAGAAACUAACAAGGAUUCCCUAGUAACGGCGAGUGAAGCGGGAAGAGCUCAAAUUUGAAAUCUUCAAGGUUUUACCUUGACGAAUUGUAGUUUAAAGAAGUGUUUUCUGUUGAAGUUUUGGUAAAAGUUCUUUGGAAUAGGACAUCAUAGAGGGUGAGAAUCCCGUAUUUGACCAUUAUCUCCAGCUGUGUGAUACACUUUCAAAGAGUCGGAUUGUUUGGGAAUGCAGUCCAAAAUGGGUGGUAAAUUUCAUCUAAAGCUAAAUAUUGGCGAGAGACCGAUAGCGAACAAGUACCGUGAGGGAAGGAUGAAAAGAACUUUGAAAAGAGAGUUAAACAGUACGUGAAAUUGUCGAAAGGGAAGCGUUUGACACCAGUGUUGUUUUCUCGAAAAUCAAUUAAAAAGAGUUGGAUUUUGUGUUGUAUUGACCUUAACAGCUUGCUUCACUCUUUUCCUGCUUUUUUUAAUGCACUUUUCGUUUAACAAGUCAACAUCAGUUUCUCUUGUUGUAAAAGGGUCAUUGGAAGGUGGCUUCCUCUUCGGAGAAAGUGUUUAUAGCCUUUGAUCUCUGCAAUCGGAGAGACUGAGGUCUGCAGCGUAGAUCCUUCGGGGUUAGAUACAUUUGUACUAAGCUACAGCUUUUCAUAGACAACUUGUUGACUAUGUUUAGUCUUGUAACUUACCCGCUUAUGCUAUUUUACCUACGCUUAGGAUGUUGAUAUGCAUGAAUGAUAU